rnacentral:tRNA from 1 species
GCGGGCGUGGUGGAAUUGGCAGACACGCAGGAUUUAGGUUCCUGUGCUUCGGCGUGCAGGUUCGACCCCUGUCGCCCGCACCA